UGUUAUCCAGUUACCAGUAAGUCCCAGUCCAUUGAAGUUUGUUUCUCUUAUAUCUGUUUUUGCCUCAUCUUGCCAAGAUCAGUACAGUGGAGGGAUGUUUCAUUCUUCCAGUGCAAACAAGACCUUUCCCAUGUGUGUUUUCUCCGUCUACGCUGUGAGCAACUGGGGCCCCGGAGUAGCCUGGGCUUUCCCUGGGGAGUGACCCAGACUCCCCCACCUGUUGGUUCCUGUCCUUCAGGUUUCUCCUCUCAUUCUCUGGGACUGGCUCAGAAGCACAAAGUUGAGGAAAAUCGGUGUGUUUUCUGCUGAGUUGCCCAGCUAUUGCUGGAACCUUUCAUGUUAAUCUGCAUGCAGGUUCUGGCUGUUGCUGUGGGCUGUUGCCCAAUUGCUGUGUUUAUCAGGACCACAGAAUAAAUGGCCAGCUUGCUCCACCUCCCAUCACGUUUCAAAAGACAAUGAGAAAGAUUCUGAGGUGUUGGUGAACACCUGACUGCCAUUGCCUUGAUAACAGCCCUUAGAAAAUGCAGAUUAGACAGAAAAACAUGUGUUAGAAGUUUUCUUCAGGGCAUUUCUGGUGCAUUGGGAAGGAUCACGUUCAUCAGCUAUGCGUGUGGAGGUGGGAUACCUUGUCUUAGUGCUGCCUGAUACAGAAGGCAGGUGGAGAACGUGAUGCUUCGAGUGGAAAGCAGGUAAUUUGUGACAGCCUCCUUUAUGGUGCUCCCAGCUGGCUGUUAGCCUUUACCUGGCAGGCUUUUCACCAGGUGCAGAAAACUCGUGUGUGCAGCCUGCAGGGCAGGUUGGGAGCUGAUGCUGCAGCGGGAAAUGGUACUCAUGGAUGCUGCCCUGGGAGCUUGGAAGUAGGCUGCUGACAAAGCACAGUUACAUCGUAAGAGAUGGUAGUUCACCUCGAGAACCCUGCACGGAGCUUGUAGACGUGUCAGUGCUCCCUGCUCACUGGCGCAGCACCGGUGCUGACGCCACACCUGCCGUGUGGCAGCAGGACAGGGGAGGGCCAGAGCAUGCCGUGACAGGCCUUGCUGUACAUGGAUCACCCCCAAGCUCAAGUUCGCGGAAGCUGUAGAGUGGCCCCGUUGCACCUGAAAGCUGCUGCCCUUUCACUGAAGGAAGGAGAGGGGACUGGAUGCAUCUCCUGCUGCUUCGUCCUGCCUUCCCCUCCAGCCUUCUCAACUCCACUACCUCUUCCUCAGAGGAAACACCUCAACUUUAAAACCGUGCCGUGAAACUUUGCGUUGCCCUUCCUUCGGGCGCUACCUCCCGGGGCAAGGCACUUCUCCUCAGUCUGAGGGCAGCCGCCUUUACCCCACGCAGCCCUCGCUGCCAGCUGCAGGGGCUGCCCCGGGGCUCUGGGGAGCGACCGUUGGGCACGGGGGGCGACCG